AAUCAACGCUGGCGGCGUGCUUAACACAUGCAAGUCGAGCGGUAAGGCCCUUUCGGGGGUACACGAGCGGCGAACGGGUGAGUAACACGUGGGUGACCUGCCCUCAGCUCUGGGAUAAGCCUGGGAAACUGGGUCUAAUACUGGAUAUGACUCCACGGUGCAUGUCGUGGGGUGGAAAGCCUUGUGCGGCUGAGGAUGGGCCCGCGGCCUAUCAGCUUGUU
rnacentral:rRNA from 1 species